GUAUGUGCUUGGCUGAGGAGCCAAUGGGGC
rnacentral:piRNA from 5 species